rnacentral:rRNA from 1 species
AGACGGAGGGCGCGAGCGUUGUUCGGAAUUACUGGGCGUAAAGCGCGCGUAGGCGGAUGGGCAAGUCGGGAGUGAAAUCCUGGGGCUCAACCCUGGGACUGCUAUCGAUACUGCUCGUCUAGGGACCGGUAGAGGCCGGUGGAAUUCCCGGUGUAGCGGUGGAAUGCGUAGAUAUCGGGAAGAACACCUGUGGCGAAGGCGGCCGGCUGGGCCGGAUCCGACGCUGAGGCGCGAAAGCGUGGGGAGCAAACAGGAUUAGAUACCCUGGUAGUCCACGCCGUAAACGAUGGGUGCUAGAUGCCGGGGGGAGCGACCCCUUCGGUGUCGCAGCUAACGCGUUAAGCACCCCGCCUGGGGAGUACGGCCGCAAGGCUGAA